GAAGCUGCAUAUUGAUCAAAGAAAAAGUUCAAAUAGUAGGGGGGCCAGGCUCACUUAAGGUUCAUCGCUUAUAGUAACCACUCGACAUUCCGAGGCGAAUCAAAUUUAAAUUCUUCCAAGGAUCACUCGGGAAGUGAAGGAACACAUGCGUCGACAAAUGUAUCAAGGUCGAUGUCCUGUGCUAUCCGAGUGGCAGCCUCCAGGAACGUCUCCAUGAAAUCUUGAAACUUAGUAUGCUUCCUUUUGACGACCUUGAGCGACUUCAGCUUCUCCUUAUCCACACCCUUGUAAUGGACUCGAACAAGAGAGAGUGUGACAUUGGCUUUGCACCAGGCUGAGGACUUAUUCCAUGAUUGUACUUGGCAUGAAACAUCCCUCAUUCGGUCCAUGAUGGAUUCCAAGUCACUCAGAAGCUCCUCGUAGGGGGUGAUCUCUUGGUCAAUCUCAUUGAGGUAGCCGAGCACUUUCUCGAUGCAUUCCUCCAAUCGGAGAACGGCCAAGGUCGGCCAGUACCUGAGGAUCUGCCGAGACGGGUCCAACUCCUUCUCGAUCGUUUUGGUCUCGGACUCGACAUUGACACAAAAUUAUGGCCGGGGAGGAGUAAAGAGAAUCAGUAAUGAGAAAGAUGUCGAAAGCAAUGCAGAAAUCACUCGGAUAGACAAAU
rnacentral:lncRNA from 1 species